rnacentral:ncRNA from 14 species
GUGUCCGAGUGGCUAAGGAGACGGACUUGAAAUCCGUUGCUGUAAGGCUCGCAGUUUCGAAUCCUGCCGAU